rnacentral:rRNA from 1 species
CAGCAGUAGGGAAUUUUCGUCAAUGGGCGCAAGCCUGAACGAGCAAUGCCGCGUGAACGAGGAAGGUCUUCGGAUCGUAAAGUUCUGUUGAAGGGGAAAAAGAGCGGAGAGAGGAAAUGGUCUCUGAUUGAUAUUACCCUUCGAGGAAGUCACGGCUAACUACGUGCCAGCAGCCGCGGUAAUACGUAGGUGGCGAGCGUUAUCCGGAAUGAUUGGGCGUAAAGGGUGCGUAGGCGGCCUGCUAAGUCUGGAGUGAAAGGUACCGGCUCAACCGGUACAGGCUCUGGAAACUGGCGGGCUAGAGAGCAGGAGAGGGCGGUGGAACUCCAUGUGUAGCGGUAAAAUGCGUAGAUAUAUGGAAGAACACCAGUGGCGAAGGCGGCCGCCUGGCCUGUUGACUGACGCUGAGGCACGAAAGCGUGGGGAGCAAAUAGGAUUAGA